CCUUGAGAUGGCUGGGGUUGUCUUUGAUGAUGGAGACGAACAAAUUGAGAGUGGCCGCCGAUGGCUGCAGCUGGUGGCGAUCGGCGCGGCGGGUUGACUCGUCUGUGGUGGAUUGGGGCUAGAGAAAACGUGAAAUUAGAGUACGAAAUUAGGGAUUUGAUCCCCACCCCCCCCCCCCCCCCCCCCCCAAACAAUGUAUUCACGGUAUGUUAUUAAACAAUUUGCAUCGAAAUAAAAAAUAAAACUAUUGGGUAUUGGCCGUUGGGCGUUUACUCCUUUAAACGAUUAGUUGCUGAAACUUACC
rnacentral:lncRNA from 1 species